GGAGUUAGCCGGUGCUUCUUCUGCGAGUAACGUCACAGAUGUAAGGUAUUAACUUACACCCUUUCCUCCUCGCUGAAAGUGCUUUACAACCCGAAGGCCUUCUUCACACACGCGGCAUGGCUGCAUCAGGGUUUCCCCCAUUGUGCAAUAUUCCCCACUGCUGCCUCCCGUAGGAGUCUGGGCCGUGUCUCAGUCCCAGUGUGGCUGAUCAUCCUCUCAGACCAGCUAGGGAUCGUCGCCUAGGUGAGCCUUUACCUCACCUACUAGCUAAUCCCACCUGGGCUUAUCCAUCAGCGCAAGGCCCGAAGGUCCCCUGCUUUCCCCCGUAGGGCGUAUGCGGUAUUAGCAGUCGUUUCCAACUGUUAUCCCCCACAAAUGGGCAAAUUCCCAGGCAUUACUCACCCGUCCGCCGCUCGUCAUCUUCAAAAGCAAGCUUUUAGAAAUGUUACCGCUCGACUUGCAUGUGUUAGGCCUGCCGCCAGCGUUCAAUCUGAGCCAGAAUCAAACUCUGA
rnacentral:rRNA from 1 species